rnacentral:rRNA from 1 species
GGCGAACGGGUGAGUAACGCGUAAACAACUUGCCUCAGAGAUUGGGACAACAUUGGGAAACCUGUGCUAAUACCAAAUAAUGCAGCGGGCUCUUCGGAGCACAGUUGUUAAAGUAGGCUUCGGCUUACACUUUGAGAUAGGUUUGCGUCCGAUUAGAUAGUUGGUAGGGUAAAAGCCUACCAAGACCAAGAUCGGUAGCUGGUCUGAGAGGAUGAUCAGCCACACUGGAAUUGAGAUACGGUCCAGACUCCUACGGGAGGCAGCAGUAAGGAAUUUUGCACAAUGGGCGAAAGCCUGAUGCAGCAACGCCGCGUGAACGAUGAAGUUUUUAGGAAUGUAAAGUUCUGUCGUAUGGGAAGAGAUCUUUCGAAUGUUAAUACCAUUCGUUAAUGACGGUACCAUACAAGAAAGCACCGGCUAACUUCGUGCCAGCAGCCGCGGUAAUACGAGGGGUGCUAGCGUUGUCCGGAUUUACUGGGCGUAAAGGGUACGUAGGCGUUUUAAUAAGUUGAAUGUUAAAUAUCUUAGCUUAACUAAGAAAAUGCAUUCAAAACUGUUAAAAUAGAGUUUGAGAGAGGAACGCAGAAUUCAUGGUGGAGCGGUGACAUGCGUAGAUAUCAUGAGGAAAGUCAAAUGCGAAGGCAGCCUUCUGGCUCAAAACUGACGCUGAGGUACGAAAGCGUGGGGAGCGAACAGGAUUAGAUACCCUGGUAGUCCACGCCGUAAACGAUGAGUAUUUGGUGCUGGGGGAUUCGACCCUUUCAGUGCCGUAGCUAACGCGAUAAAUACUC